GGCCUUAUGGUCUAGUAGCAUGAUUCCUCCUUUGGGUGUCUACCUAACUGGAGGAGGUCCUGGGUUCAACUCCCAGUGAGGCCC